rnacentral:rRNA from 1 species
UACGUAGGUGGCGAGCGUUGUCCGGAAUUACUGGGUGUAAAGGGCGUGUAGGCGGGAAUGUAAGUCAGAUGUGAAAUACCGGAGCUUAACUUCGGGGCUGCAUCUGAAACUAUGUUUCUUGAGUGUCGGAGAGGAAAGCGGAAUUCCCAGUGUAGCGGUGAAAUGCGUAGAUAUUGGGAGGAACACCAGUGGCGAAGGCGGCUUUCUGGACGAUAACUGACGCUGAGGCGCGAAAGCGUGGGGAGCAAACAGG